AUUUUCUAUAUAAUAAUCUAAGAAAUUCUUCACAUAUAUGAAUUUCAUAUCACAAUACUUGCUGUAACUUUUGGAAAUAAAACAGGUAGCAGGAUCUUUCUGGAAGACUUUAACAUUUAUUAUAGAGUAACUGUGAGCAGAGCUGCUGUAAAACACCAGAUGGAAAGGAAGCAGUUCAACACCAUCUUUUCUUCAUCUGCCUUGCUGUGGCACUCAGCUUCUCACUGCAUACAGGAACUUGGAAAUUCCAGGCUUCAGAUGUGGUCACAUGAAUCCUCCACUGAUUAUUACAGAUUUGCCUUCAAAUGAGCCACAGGAAUGUUUAUUUCUUAAUAAUCAACAGCAGCUUCUCUUGUAAUGUGUUUUAAUGUUUUUACAUAUCGUCUAGCAGCGUUGGUCCCAAAUUCCAGCCUUAACUGGCAGGCUGCUUCCCUUAUGGGAGUUUUCCAAUAACCAACAUUGUUUCUUACCCUUUUCAAGGACUAUGGGGAAAAGAAUCUUCUAGAGUCUUGAGAAAAGCAUGAUAAUCCAGGAUUUAUGCACAUUGAAAAUACUUUUAUUGAUUUGGCCCAACUUCCUCAUCGUGCAACUUGUCACAUCAUGACACCAUCUGAAAUGAUAAACUUUCUAGAGAAUUGUCAUGGAAAGGUCUUCUCCAACCAACCUAAGCUUAGAGUCAAACUUAAGGCAAACUUUGGGAAAGAGGCCACUUCCACUCUGUGACAGAGGGUAAUAUGGUUGGGCUUUACGUCCCCACCCAAAUCUCAUCUUGUAGUUUCCAUAAUUCCCACAUGUUGUGGGAGGGACCUGGUGGGAGAUGAAUGAAUUAUGGGGGCGGAUCUUUCCCGUGCCGUUCUUGUGAUAGUGAAUGAGGCUCAUGAAAUCUGCUGGUUUUAAAAGCAGCUUGUGCAGGGCACAAGCUUUGGCUGCUGCCAUCCACUUAAGCUGUGACUUGCUCCUUCUUGCCUUCUGCCAUGAUUGUGAGGCCUCCCCAGCCACGUGGAAUUGUAAGUUUAAUAAAUGUCAUUCUAUUGUAAAUUGUCCAGUCUCAGGUGUGUCUUUAUCAGCAGUGUGAAAACAGACUAAUACAGAGGGUUAUAAAAAUAUUACUCCCCUUUAAUAUUGCUCCCAAGGAAUUCCCUAUGGUUAAAAAAUAUAUACGAAUGAGGACAAAACAUAUACUUAUGAGCAUCAUAAUAUAUGACUAAGACUCAUCUGAUUCUCAAUGAUUUUGUUUCUGUGACUUAAAAAAAUGGUACAAGGCCCAUGAAAUGAAUCACACCUCA
rnacentral:lncRNA from 10 species